CCGGAGGACGCGAGCCAGGGAGCCGGCUCCUGGCGUGUUUCUAGCACCUGCUUGAGGUCGGAAGCGCGGGCGAGCCAUGUCUGAGAUCCUCUGUCAGUGGCUCAACCAGGAGUUGAAGCUGUCCCGGACCGUGAGUCCUAAGGCAUUUGCAAAGGCGUUUUCCAGUGGCUACUUAAUUGGAGAAGUUCUGCACAAGUUCGAGCUUCAGGAUGAUUUUUCAGAGUUUUCAGAGAGCAGGGUUUCGACUGCCAGACUUAAUAAUUUUUCCCGCUUGGAGCCAACACUUCUCCUUCUGGGUGUUCAGUUCGAUCAGAAUGUGGCCCACAGCAUCAUCACAGAAAAGCCUGGAGCUGCAACGAAGCUUCUGUAUCAAUUGUACAUUGCUCUGCAGAAGAAGAAGAAAAGUGGACUGACUGCAGUAGAAAUGCAAACAAUGCAGCCCCUUGUGGGCUUAAGACUUCAAAACACGAAAAGUGAGACUUUUCGAGAGCAACGCUUAAGCAGAAGACGACAAAAUGAAAUAAUGGCCAAAAUCCAAGCAGCUAUCAUACAGAUUCCUAAACCUACAUCCAAUCGUACUUUGAAAGCACUUGAGGCUCAGAAAAUGCUGAAAAAGAAAAAAGAGGCAGAGGAUGUGGCCAAUGAGAUUAAGAAGUUUGAAACAUUAAUAAAAAAGGAUCUCCAGGCCAAAGAAAGUGCAUCCAAGACUUCUUUCGACACAGCAGAUCGUAUAACUACUGAUUUGUUAAACACUUACUCGGAUGAUGACUAUAUUAAAAAAAUCCAGAAGCGCUUAGAAGAAGAUGCUUUUGCACGGGAGCAAAGGGAGAAAAGACGGCGGAGGUUAUUAAUGGACCAGUUAAUAGCCCAUGAAGCACAGGAGGAGGCUUAUCGAGAGGAACAGCUGAUUCACCGAUUAAUGCGACAGUCCCAGCAGGAACGCAGGAUUGCUGUGCAGCUGAUGCAUGUGCGGCAUGAAAAGGAAGUUUUAUGGCAAAACAGAAUUUUCAGAGAAAAACAAUAUGAGGAAAGACGACUUAAAGAUUUCCAGGAUGCUCUUGAUCGAGAAGCGGCUUUGGCAAAACAAGCCAAAAUUGAUUUUGAAGAACAAAUUCUCAGAGAGAAGGAAUUUCAUGACCAGAUUGCUACGGAAAGAGCUAAGGUUUCUUAUAAAAAGCAUUAUGACAUAUGUGCAGAAAUUUUGGAUCAAAUUCUUGAUUUGUCCACAAAAGUGUCAGACUAUCGAAUGCUGACAAAUAAUCUGAUUCCACGUAAGUUGAUGCAUGACUGGAAGGAACUGUUUUUCAAUGGAAAGCCCCUAUAUGAGCAAAUCUCUACUAAGCAUCUGCCUGCUAGGCACCCUGCAGGACAACUUGUAGAACUGGAGAAAAGGGACUUACUAGAUAAAAAUGAUUAUGAAGAAUAUAAGAACAUGGUUGGAGAGUGGGCCUUACCAGAAGAAAUGGUUGAUAAAUUACCACCCUCCAACAACUCCAUAUUGGGCCAUGUGCUUCACAGAUUGGUAGAAAAAUCUCUUCCUCCUCAAAUGGAACCAACAGAAACUGAGUUGCCUUCAUUUGCUAUUAAGGGAUGUUUGUUGGGGAAAACACUUAGUGGAAAAACUGCUACUCUAAAGUCUCUACAGAAAGACUUUCCUAUUCAGGUACUUUCUAUUGAUACUCUUGUCCAAGAAGCUAUCCAAGCAUUUUAUGACAAUGAAAAAGCUGUGGAGGCCCAACCAAUUCAGAGAGAAGAUGGAGAAAAGUCUCCACCCAUUCCUCAGAAUGACAAUAAAGAAAACCAGGAUUCACAAAAUGUGUUUUCAACUGGACCAGUUUCAGUUGAAGAAUCACCAAAAACAAAAGGUGAAGAUGUACCCAGCACCAAUACUAAUAAUACACCAAAUGCUGCAGAGGUCAAGUCAAGUGAUACUUUCUCAACACUUUCUGUGCGAGCUCAGCUUGGUGAAAAAUCAGAGCAGUUGCUGAAAAAAGGAAAGAGCAUUCCAGACAAAUUACUGGUUAAUAUCAUGGUAAAUGCUAUUAAUGAGAUACCUGUAAAUCAAGGCUGGAUCCUUGAUGGUUUUCCAAUGACAUUCAACCAAGCACAGCUUCUGGAGGAAGCUCUCACAGGCUACAACAGAAACCUCAUAGAAAAGGAGGCAAAGAAAACACAAAUAUCCACACUGGCUGUUGAUCCUACAGCUUCCAAGGAAGUAACUUCUCCCACUUCUGCCUUUGAUUUUGUCAUAUUAUUAGAUAUUUCAGAUACUUUCUCACUAAGUCGCAAGAAUGAUAUUAUAGCUGAAGAAUUUUCACAUGGAACUACUCCCAAAGAUAUUGGUCAACAUGGAGCUGCUGAAAACCAAGAUAAGGAUUUGAACCAGAACUUAAAGGACCAGAUACAGCAUAGAAUUAUAGGCUUCUUGGACAACUGGCCUUUGUUGGAGCAAUGGUUUUCAGAGCCUGAAAAUGUUUUGAUAAAAGUUAAUGCUGAAAUAGAUAAGGAAUCUUUAUACCAAAAACUAAAAGAAAUUUUUGCAACUGAAAUUGUGAAAAAAAAGAACAAAGUUGAAAAGAAAUUAGAAGAAAAGGAAGCUAAGAAAAAAGCAGCAGCUUCCCAAGCAGAGCCUCCGCCUCCCCCGCCUCCUCCCCCACCUCCUCCUGAUGCAGAAAAAGAGAAGGAAACUCUUCCAAAGGAGUCUUCAAAAACUACUCCUGCCAAAGGAAAACCACAAUCAGAAACCCCACGUGGUAAACAAGAAGCUCUUCAUGAAGGAAAAGGAAAGAAAGGUGAAACUGCACCCAAAAGAAAAGGAACAGCAGACAAAGUUACUCCUAAAGGAAAAUCACCAGGAGGGAAAACACCAAUAAAAAAAUCACCUGCUGACUCUACAGACAUAUCACCCACUCCAACAGCACCACCACUACCUAAACCAGGAUCUGAAGAAUGGGUGUACGUGAAUGAACCAAUCCCUGAGGAAGUACCUUCAUUUUUAAUACCUUACUGGGAACUAAUAGAGAAUUCCUACAUCAGCACCAUCAAAACAGUUCUCAGGCAUCUGAGAGAAGACCAGCAUGCUAUACUUGCUUACUUAUACAAGAUUAGAACAAGUUUCCAGGAGUUUCUAAGGCGUCCAGAUCACAAGCAAAAUUUUGUAGCUCAGUGGCAGGCUGAUUUCAACUCUCUUCCUGAUGACCUGUGGGAUGAUGAGGAAACAAAAGCUGAAUUGCACCAAAGAGUGAACGAUCUGAGAGACCGCCUGUGGGACAUCUGUGAUGCCCGGAAGCAGGAGGCGGAGCAGGAGCGGCUGGACAUCAUUAAUGAGAACUGGUUGCAGGACUGUCUCGGCGUGAUGAUGAACCACUUCUUUUCACUGAUGCAGGCUGAAGUGAACCGGUUCCAAGAUACAAAGAGACUCCUUCAGGAUUAUUACAGGGCAAUGGAUUGCAAGAUUCCACUAGAGGACAAUAAGAAAUUUACUCGAAUCCCAUUGGUUCAACUGGAUAGUAAAGAGAUUUCGGAAAACCAGCUUAGAAUCCCUCUAGUUCCUCGAGUAUCCAUUUCUCCGGAAACAGUUGUGCCCAAGUCAAAAUUAAAAGCCGUGCUGAAGGAGCAGAUGGAUGAGUCACUAGAAAAUGUAGAGUCAAACUUGGAGGCCGAUGAGAAGCUAAUGAUGGACACCUGGCAGCAGGCUUCUCUAGCAAUAUCUCACAUGGUGACGGCUGACAUCCAUCAGCAGCUCCUAGAAGAAGAAAAAGAAAACCAGCCAGCAGAUGCAAAAGAAAAGUCUCCUAUAAUGGGCGCAAAUAAAAAAGCCAAAAAGGAAAAGGAGCCACCCAAGAAAAAGAAAGCAGACAAAAAAGCAAAAGGUAAAUCACCACCUGUACCUGAACCCCCUCCUGUAACAAUGACUGCAGAGGAAAUUGCCGAAAUGGAAAGGAAAAAUGAACUGAGGCUCAAAAUAAAGGAAGAACAUCUUGCUGCCCUACAAUUUGAAGAGACAGCCACACAGUUUCGACUUGAGCUGAUAAAGACAAAAGCACUGACUAUCCUUGAGGAUUUAGUAGCAAAGGCGGUCAAUGUCUAUAAACUCAUGGAAAAAUGGCUUGGUGAGAAGUAUCUGAAUGAAAUGGCCAGUGUAGAAAAAUUAACUGAAGUAGCUCGCUAUCACAUUGAAACAACUACAAAAAUUCAGAAUGAGCUUUUCUUAUGCCAAGAAGACUUCUUCAUCAACGGCGACAUAAAAGUCUUCCCAGAUCCUCCCCCACCAGUGCGGCCCCCACCUGUAGAAAAGGAAGAAAACAGCACUCUGACCAUCCAACAGCUUGACAACCUUCGAGAUCAGUUCUUAGAUAUGGCACCCAAAGGCAUAAUAGGAAAUAAGGCAUUUACUGACAUUCUGCUUGAUGUGGUGACCCUGAACCUUGGAACAAACAACUUCCCAAGUGCAUGGAUGCAUCUCACCCAACCCGAAUUGCAGGAGUUAACAUCUUUAUUGGUAGUAAACUCAGAGUUCGUGGACUGGCGGAAAUUCCUGUUGGUGACAGCGAUGCCUUGGCCCAUCCCCCUGGAAGAGGAACUCCUUGAGACCCUGCAGAGAUUCAAGGCUGUAGAUGAGGCACAGACUGGCACCAUCACUUUCGAGCAGUACAUGCAGGCUGGUCUGUGGUUUACGGGAGAUGAAGACAUAAAAAUUCCAGAAAAUCCUCUUGAACCCCUGCCAUUUAACAGGCUGGAACAUCUUAUAGAGUUUUUCUUUAGGCUGUUUGCUGACUUUGAGGAGGACCCACCCCAGCUUGACUACACUCAGAUGCUGCUCUAUUUCGCGUGCCACCCAGACACUGUGGAAGGGGUCUACAGGGCCCUCAGUGUGGCUGUGGGGACCCAUAUCUUCCCACAGGUUGAAACUCCUAUGAUGGCUGCAGAAAAGACCUCCUCCUCUACGGAUAUGAGCCACACUGAGGAAUUUCCCGAACCCGAGGAAAACGUUGCUCGAGAGGAAAGGGAACCAAAGGAGGAAAGGGAUGAAAGGGAACAAAAGCAAGAAGAAAUCCCUGACAAUGUAAACACUGAAAAGAUCUCCUUGGAAACCCUACUGAAAGUCUUCCGGGGAGGAAAUGAAGUCCAGGACACUAACAGAUUUUCCAGUCACCUGAAGACAGAGAACAUUUAUGCAGAGAGCUUCAUACAGACCUUUCAGGACCUAGGUGCCAAGAACCUGGAGCCAAUCGAAGUUUCUCUUCUCUUGAAGCACCCUUUUGUUCAGGACCUGAUUGCUAAUUAUUCAGACUAUAAAAUUCCAGAUAUUAAAAUGAUUUUCCAGAGAAGUGAGCAGGUACAAGGAAGUGAUGGAGAAAGAUCACCUUCAAGACUUACAGAGGAAAAGAAAUGAAGACAGAAGAGUGUGAAUUUUUUUUUUAAUUUGUCAAUGAAUCUUCCAAAAAUCAAAUGUGACCAUGGAGUCUGUUGUAUAUGUUAUUGUGAGGUAGACAUGACCAGUUUAUAAGAGGGCCUAAAGAGGGGGACCUUGCUCAACGCAAGGAAUCUUCUAUCAUAAACCUUGAAGGAAAAGAGCAAAAAUCCAAAGGCUGGUGCAGCCAAAGAGGAGCAUCCUCACCGAAGUCCGGUGACCUUAUGACUACCCGACCCAGAGACCAGAGCAGAUGCAUGUUCCUGCUUCAGCCUCCCCGUACCUCCUCCUUUACUCUUCCCACUAAGUAAAUGUCAGCAUCAUCACCAAAAAAUAUUUGUUACCAGGGCCCAGGUCAGAGGCUGCUGGGUGGUCCCAAUUGACUGGAUCUGGUUACCUGCUUGCAUCAGAAGGAAGAUAAAAUGAUAUAAAAAGGAAAAAUGAAUUUAAAGACAACAGCUAAUCAUCUUUCUUCGCCCAUCAUGCAGAAACAGUAAAAUCUAUAGGAACAAAUGCCAGGAAAUAUACAUAUAUAGACUCAUCCAGCUGUGCCAGGCAGAGAUGCUACAAUUCCGAUCCUCCCUCGGUGCAUCCUUCUGGCUCCAGGCUGGCCUUUGAGGGCACUUGCAGCUUCCAUCCUCAGCAUGAGAUGAUGGCCUCCCUGCAGGAAGCUGUGAUAUGAAACAGAUAAACAAGUUAGCAGGAAACGACUGAGAACAGAGAAGCGAUUUGGGACUUCUAAUUUUAAAUCAGUCCCUGUUACAUGUUGGUAAUGGUCUUUAUCCAAAUCUAAUGAUGUACCAAGCCUUUUCCAUUUCAGGUUGAAAAUUCCUCCCACAUUCCCGGCCUGCAUUUCAUGGCUCAUCCUUCAG